rnacentral:rRNA from 1 species
CCUACGUGAGGCAGCAGUGGGGAAUAUUGCGCAAUGGGCGAAAGCCUGACGCAGCGACGCCGCGUGAGGGAUGAAGGUCUUCGGAUCGUAAACCUCUGUCAGCAGGGAAGAACGGUCACUGUGCUAAUCAGCAGUGAAUUGACGGUACCUUCAACGGAAGCACCGGCUAACUCCGUGCCAGCAGCCGCGGUAAUACGGAGGGUGCGAGCGUUAAUCGGAAUUACUGGGCGGAAAGCGCUCGUAGGCGGUAUGUCAAGUCAAGGGUGACAUCCCCGCGCUCAACCUGGGAACUGCCUUUGAAACGGGCAAACUGGAGUGUGUGAGAGGAUAGUGGAAGUCCAGGUGGAGGAGUGAAAUCCGUAGAUAUCUGGAGGAACAUCAGUGGCGAAGGCGACUAUCUGGCACAUAACUGACGCUGAGGAGCGAAAGCGUGGGUAGCAAACAGGAUUAGAUACCCUGGUAGUC